CUUGAAUUCAACAGGAGCUGACAUGGGAGU
rnacentral:piRNA from 1 species